rfam:Methylobacterium radiotolerans JCM 2831, complete genome.
CGUGACGAUGCGGGAGAGACCGGGAUCUUCCCAGCAGAGGGGACCCGGCGCCGACGGAGCAACCGCCCCGGAAACUCUCAGGCACCGGAACCGUGUCGUCAGG